UUAAGUUCAGCGGGUAUUCCUACCUGAUCCGAGGUCAACCUAAGAAGUUUAGGGGGGUUUAGCGGCUGGAACCCGACUGGAUCCGCCGAGCGAGGGCGCGUUUUACCGCGUGUUACUGCGCUCAGGGUCCCGACGAGCCCGCCGAUGGACUUGGGGGCCCCGGGGCCGCUGGGCGGCCGGGUGCCCCAACACCAAGCUGG
rnacentral:misc_RNA from 1 species